GCCCCCUUUGCCAUUAUCUCCAUCGUAUCAUAACAAUCCUUCUGGUUCCAUGCUGGCUGCUUGCAAUAUUAGUAAUGUGCCGCCCGUAGUAAGUAUAUCAUUGCCGCCCCCUAACAAGGCUUAUCAUUUACCUCCACCACCUCCAACAGUGUCAAACCAGUUCUCCUAUGUCCAAAUUGAACCGCAACAAACACAGUCAUCUUGGGGAAACCCCUCUUCUUCCAU
rnacentral:misc_RNA from 1 species